GUGCACAUUUUGGCAGCACAUACACUAAAACUAGGAGGAUAUGGAGAUUAGCAUGGCCCCCAUGCAAGGAUGACAGGUAAAUUCAUGAAGCGUUCUAUUUUCGG
ensembl:snRNA U6 U6 spliceosomal RNA